CACUGCCGAGAAAAGCCUCUAGAUAGAAAAUAGGUGCCCGUACCGCAAACCGACACAGGUAGUCAAGAUGAGAAUUCUAAGGUGAGCGAGCGAACUCUCGUUAAGGAACUCGGCAAAAUGACCCCGUAACUUCGGGAGAAGGGGUGCUCUUUAGGGUUAACGCCCAGAAGAGCCGCAGUGAAUAGGCCCAAGCGACUGUUUAUCAAAAACACAGGUCUCUGCUAAACCGUAAGGUGAUGUAUAGGGGCUGACGCCUGCCCGGUGCUGGAAGGUUAAGAGGAGUGGUUAGCUUCUGCGAAGCUACGAAUCGAAGCCCCAGUAAACGGCGGCCGUAACUAUAACGGUCCUAAGGUAGCGAAAUUCCUUGUCGGGUAAGUUCCGACCCGCACGAAAGGCGUAACGAUUUGGGCACUGUCUCAACGAGAGACUCGGUGAAAUCAUAGUACCUGUGAAGAUGCAGGUUACCCGCGACAGGACGGAAAGACCCCGUGGAGCUUUACUGUAGCCUGAUAUUGAAAUUCGGCACAGCUUGUACAGGAUAGGUAGGAGCCUUUGAAACGUGAGCGCUAGCUUACGUGGAGGCGCUGGUGGGAUACUACCCUAGCUGUGUUGGCUUUCUAACCCGCACCACUUAUCGUGGUGGGAGACAGUGUCAGGCGGGCAGUUUGACUGGGGCGGUCGCCUCCUAAAAGGUAACGGAGGCGCUCAAAGGUUCCCUCAGAAUGGUUGGAAAUCAUUCAUAGAGUGUAAAGGCAUAAGGGAGCUUGACUGCGAGACCUACAAGUCGAGCAGGGUCGAAAGACGGACUUAGUGAUCCGGUGGUUCCGCAUGGAAGGGCCAUCGCUCAACGGAUAAAAGCUACCCCGGGGAUAACAGGCUUAUCUCCCCCAAGAGUUCACAUCGACGGGGAGGUUUGGCACCUCGAUGUCGGCUCAUCGCAUCCUGG
rnacentral:rRNA from 1 species